AACAGGAUUAGAUACCCUGGUAGUCCACGCCGUAAACGAUGUCGACUUGGAGGUUGUGCCCUUGAGGCGUGGCUUCCGGAGCUAACGCGUUAAGUCGACCGCCUGGGGAGUACGGCCGCAAGGUUAAAACUCAAAUGAAUUGACGGGGGCCCGCACAAGCGGUGGAGCAUGUGGUUUAAUUCGAUGCAACGCGAAGAACCUUACCUACUCUUGACAUCCAGAGAACUUUCCAGAGAUGGAUUGGUGCCUUCGGGAACUCUGAGACAGGUGCUGCAUGGCUGUCGUCAGCUCGUGUUGUGAAAUGUUGGGUUAAGUCCCGCAACGAGCGCAACCCUUAUCCUUUGUUGCCAGCGGUUAGGCCGGGAACUCAAAGGAGACUGCCAGUGAUAAACUGGAGGAAGGUGGGGAUGACGUCAAGUCAUCAUGGCCCUUACGAGUAGGGCUACACACGUGCUACAAUGGCGCAUACAAAGAGAAGCGACCUCGCGAGAGCAAGCGGACCUCAUAAAGUGCGUCGUAGUCCGGAUUGGAGUCUGCAACUCGACUCCAUGAAGUCGGAAUCGCUAGUAAUCGUGGAUCAGAAUGCCACGGUGAAUACGUUCCCGGGCCUUGUACACACCGCCCGUCACACCAUGGGAGUGGGUUGCAAAAGAAGCAGGUAGCUUAACCUUCGGGAGGGCGCUUACCACUUUGUGAUUCAUGACUGGGGUGAAGUCGUAACAAGGUAACC
rnacentral:rRNA from 1 species